AUCCUUAAAUAUGAUGUCGGGGUUGUAAUUGGGGGUGAGUUCCUUAAAUCGUUCGGAGUUUCUUGUGAUCUUCCCUUCAUAUCUGCCGCUGGCCCCUAGGGUCUUCUCGGCUACGUUGGGAAUAAACUGCUUGUAGGCUAAAGGGGUCAGCUUUUUGGGGUGCCGCCUCUUUCCAAACCCCCUGCCGGGCCCACAGGCCAGCCCGGGGCACACCAGCAGCGAGGAAGCAAGGAUCACCAGAAAACAUCUGGCCAGCAGCAGCAGCAUCUCGUCCGCGGAACCUGAGGACUUGUGAGCUGUCCCCGCGCUGUCUGUGCGCGAGCGGGUACGCGCGGGUGUGUGCGUGUGCGCUCCUCCUUGCGCUCGGCUCUCCCUUCCUCGCUCGGCUCGUUCGUUCCCUCUGGCGCUGCCUGGCUCUUUCUCUUCCUAUAUAACCUUGCCUGCCGCUGCUGCAGGGGACUUGUCUCCGAUCCCCACCCAGACUGGGGCUGCGAUGGCAGGCUGCCGGUCGCUGGUAACGGAACACAUCGGAGUUGGGUCUCGAGACAGCAAUUAAAAGACAAAAAGAGCCUGAUUUUAAAUGGUAGCAAGGCUGGAGAGCUUGUGAGACAGGCUGCCUUUCGCACUAUAUUAUAGCUGGCAGGGGCGCAUCUGAUUGGCCAAGCCGCACAAGCUUGUCUUCUGAUGUUAACCCUGAGAAAGACUACAUUUCUCCCCCCUCUGGCUGCUGUGGCUUUAUUUUCACCUGAAGGCUUCCAGU
rnacentral:lncRNA from 1 species